rnacentral:rRNA from 1 species
GGUUAAGCGACUAAGCGUACACGGUGGAUGCCCUGGCAGUCAGAGGCGAUGAAGGACGUGCUAAUCUGCGAAAAGCGUCGGUAAGGUGAUAUGAACCGUUAUAACCGGCGAUGUCCGAAUGGGGAAACCCAGUGCAAUUCGUUGCACUAUCGUUAACUGAAUACAUAGGUUAACGAGGCGAACCGGGGGAACUGAAACAUCUAAGUACCCCGAGGAAAAGAAAUCAACCGAGAUUCCCCCAGUAGCGGCGAGCGAACGGGGAGCAGCCCAGAGUCUGAAUCAGCUUGUGUGUUAGUGGAACGGUCUGGAAAGUCCGACGGUACAGGGUGAUAGUCCCGUACACCAAAAUGCACAGGUUGUGAACUCGAAGAGUAGGGCGGGACACGUGGUAUCCUGUCUGAAUAUGGGGGGACCAUCCUCCAAGGCUAAAUACUCCUGACUGACCGAUAGUGAACCAGUACCGUGAGGGAAAGGCGAAAAGAACCCCGGCGAGGGGAGUGAAAAAGAACCUGAAACCGUGUACGUACAAGCAGUGGGAGCACCUUCGGGUGUGACUGCGUACCUUUUGUAUAAUGGGUCAGCGACUUAUAUUCUGUAGCAAGGUUAACCGUAUAGGGGAGCCGCAGGGAAACCGAGUCUUAACUGGGCGUUAAGUUGCAGGGUAUAGACCCGAAACCCGGUGAUCUAGCCAUGGGCAGGUUGAAGGUUGGGUAACACUAACUGGAGGACCGAACCGACUAAUGUUGAAAAAUUAGCGGAUGACUUGUGGCUGGGGGUGAAAGGCCAAUCAAACCGGGAGAUAGCUGGUUCUCCCCGAAAGCUAUUUAGGUAGCGCCUCGUGAAUUCAUCUUCGGGGGUAGAGCACUGUUUCGGCUAGGGGGUCAUCCCGACUUACCAACCCGAUGCAAACUACGAAUACCGAAGAAUGUUAUCACGGGAGACACACGGCGGGUGCUAACGUCCGUCGUGAAGAGGGAAACAACCCAGACCGCCAGCUAAGGUCCCAAAGUCAUGGUUAAGUGGGAAACGAUGUGGGAAGGCACAGACAGCCAGGAUGUUGGCUUAGAAGCAGCCAUCAUUUAAAGAAAGCGUAAUAGCUCACUGGUCGAGUCGGCCUGCGCGGAAGAUGUAACGGGGCUAAACCAUGCACCGAAGCUGCGGCAGCGACACUAUGUGUUGUUGGGUAGGGGAGCGUUCUGUAAGCCUGCGAAGGUGACCUGUGAGGGUUGCUGGAGGUAUCAGAAGUGCGAAUGCUGACAUAAGUAACGAUAAAGCGGGUGAAAAGCCCGCUCGCCGGAAGACCAAGGGUUCCUGUCCAACGUUAAUCGGGGCAGGGUGAGUCGACCCCUAAGGCGAGGCCGAAAGGCGUAGUCGAUGGGAAACAGGUUAAUAUUCCUGUACUUGGUGUUACUGCGAAGGGGGGACGGAGAAGGCUAUGUUAGCCGGGCGACGGUUGUCCCGGUUUAAGCAUGUAGGCUGGUUAUCCAGGCAAAUCCGGAUAAUCAAGGCUGAGGUGUGAUGACGAGGCACUACGGUGCUGAAGUAACAAAUGCCCUGCUUCCAGGAAAAGCCUCUAAGCAUCAGGUAACAUCAAAUCGUACCCCAAACCGACACAGGUGGUCAGGUAGAGAAUACCAAGGCGCUUGAGAGAACUCGGGUGAAGGAACUAGGCAAAAUGGUGCCGUAACUUCGGGAGAAGGCACGCUGGUGUGUAGGUGAAGUCCCUGCGGAUGGAGCUGAGACCAGUCGAAGAUACCAGCUGGCUGCAACUGUUUAUUAAAAACACAGCACUGUGCAAACACGAAAGUGGACGUAUACGGUGUGACGCCUGCCCGGUGCCGGAAGGUUAAUUGAUGGGGUUAUCCGUAAGGAGAAGCUCUUGAUCGAAGCCCCGGUAAACGGCGGCCGUAACUAUAACGGUCCUAAGGUAGCGAAAUUCCUUGUCGGGUAAGUUCCGACCUGCACGAAUGGCGUAAUGAUGGCCAGGCUGUCUCCACCCGAGACUCAGUGAAAUUGAACUCGCUGUGAAGAUGCAGUGUACCCGCGGCAAGACGGAAAGACCCCGUGAACCUUUACUAUAGCUUGACACUGAACAUUGAGCCUUGAUGUGUAGGAUAGGUGGGAGGCUUUGAAGCGUGGACGCCAGUCUGCGUGGAGCCAACCUUGAAAUACCACCCUUUAAUGUUUGAUGUUCUAACGUUGGCCCCUUACCGGGGUUGCGGACAGUGUCUGGUGGGUAGUUUGACUGGGGCGGUCUCCUCCCAAAGCGUAACGGAGGAGCACGAAGGUUAGCUAAUCCUGGUCGGACAUCAGGAGGUUAGUGCAAUGGCAUAAGCUAGCUUGACUGCGAGCGUGACGGCGCGAGCAGGUGCGAAAGCAGGUCAUAGUGAUCCGGUGGUUCUGAAUGGAAGGGCCAUCGCUCAACGGAUAAAAGGUACUCCGGGGAUAACAGGCUGAUACCGCCCAAGAGUUCAUAUCGACGGCGGUGUUUGGCACCUCGAUGUCGGCUCAUCACAUCCUGGGGCUGAAGUAGGUCCCAAGGGUAUGGCUGUUCGCCAUUUAAAGUGGUACGCGAGCUGGGUUUAGAACGUCGUGAGACAGUUCGGUCCCUAUCUGCCGUGGGCGCUGGAGAAUUGAGGGGGGCUGCUCCUAGUACGAGAGGACCGGAGUGGACGCAUCACUGGUGUUCGGGUUGUCAUGCCAAUGGCACUGCCCGGUAGCUAAAUGCGGAAGAGAUAAGUGCUGAAAGCAUCUAAGCACGAAACUUGCCCCGAGAUGAGUUCUCCCUGAGACUUUAAGUCUCCUGAAGGAACGUUAAAGACGAUGACGUUGAUAGGCCGGGUGUGUAAGCGCAGCGAUGCGUUGAGCUAACCGGUACUAAUGAACCGUGAGGCUUAACCUU